GGAGGGUGCAAGCGUUGUUCGGAAUCACUGGGCGUAAAGCGCGUGUAGGCGGCYUCUUAAGUCUGGUGUGAGAGCCCGGGGCUUACCCCCGGAAGGGCACUGGAAACUGGGAGGCUAGAGUACCGGAGAGGAAGGUGGAAUUCCUGGUGUAGCGGUGAAAUGCGUAGAUAUCAGGAGGAACACCGGUGGCGAAGGCGGCCUUCUGGACGGAUACUGACGCUGAGACGCGAAAGCGUGGGGAGCAAACAGGAUUAGAUACCCUGGUAGUCCACGCUGUAAACGAUGGGCACUAGGUGUUCGGGGUAUUGACCCCCUGAGUGCCGCAGCUAACGCAUUAAGUGCCCCGCCUGGGGACUACGGCCGCAAGGCUA
rnacentral:rRNA from 1 species